rnacentral:rRNA from 1 species
UACGGGGGGGGCAAGCGUUGUUCGGAAUUACUGGGCGUAAAGGGCUCGUAGGCGGCCAACUAAGUCAGACGUGAAAUCCCUCGGCUUAACCGGGGAACUGCGUCUGAUACUGGAUGGCUUGAGUUUGGGAGAGGGAUGCGGAAUUCCGGGUGUAGCGGUGAAAUGCGUAGAUAUCUGGAGGAACACCGGUUGCGAAGGCGGCAUCCUGGACCAACACUGACGCUGAGUGAGCGAAAGCCAGGGGAGCAAACGGG